UGCCCUUGUGAGGCUUACACGGGGUGCUCCAGGCAGCGUGUCAGGGACUGGCUUAGAAACCCGUGGGGUUGAGCGCUGGGUGUUGUAUGGAAACCAAUUUGACAAAAAAUUUCAUAUAUUUUAAAAAAAAAAAGAAACACAAAAACAAAAACAAAAACACACACACACAAGAAACUCGCAGAGAAGAGGAGGGGAAAACAGCACAAAAGACAAAAGCAAAACCAGGUAGCUGGGAGAUGGUGGGAAAACACUGAUGUUGGACUGAAGGGUUGGCUUGGACGACUUGACCUCUCUGGGCUUUAGGAACUUCACCCCCCCCCCCCCCCCAGCGUGGCACCGGUAAAAAUCCCUCCCCGACAGCUACUCAGGGAAGAGGAAUCGGGUCCGAGUGUAGAAAGCAAAUAUUUAUUGAGAAUCUACUCUGUGCCAGGUGCUGUCAUAGGUAACAGCAACACAGGGAUUAAUAAAAUAAGAGUUUUGCCUUUGAGAAACUCUUAUUUCCGCGUGUACUUGGCCAUGCUGGCGAAGUGAGUGAGGAUAUAGAAACGAACUAAAAAAACAAACGUGUUGAAAGCCUGCUGUGUGACGGUCACUUUGUCCUGUGUUCUGUUACCUCAUUUUAACCUCGCGAGGACACUCCAAGGUGUUGUUCGCUUUACAAAGGAGGAAACUGGCCCAGAGACGCUCACCACGUUUGCCAAAACCACGCAGCUCGUACGGAGUUUAGGAUGUGAAAUCUCCCCAGACCUCCAAUCCUCUCUCCUUCUCCACGGUUAGAAGCCAGCCAUCUGGAGCGUUCUCAUCUUACCACAGCCAAACCGCAGACCUGUCUAUACCAGCAUCUAGCCUGUCCUUUCCCCUCUUGUUCAAUGGAGAAAGCGUGCUUCUCGGUAUCACACGGAUUCUGGAUCCCAGAACUUCUCUUGGAUCUGUUUGUAGGUUUGGCCUUGUCGGAGCAUGCCAACAGACAGCAGAAUCACCAGCUACAUUUGCUAAGAGAGAUUGUGCCAAACUGAUGCACUUGACCGCCCGAGGAAACAACUCCCUGCUCUUCCAGGUUACUGAUCUCAAGUAGAUCAAUCAAUAUUGUCAGAGCCUGCGGCUGAAGUAAAUUUUACUCGGAUUCUGGCACAAGACACAGGAAAAGGAGACCAAGAAAGACAAGCUACAGGGGCCAUCCUCGGAACACAACUUCGCAAAGUGCUGGCCGGCAGCCUGGUCUCCAGAAGUCACGCUGACUUUAUCCUUUUAUGGGUAUAGAGAACGAUCCUUUUAUGGAUUGCCUCAGCCCCACUCCCCACAUCCUGCCAUCUUGAAUUCCUGGUCAGCAUUUGCCCUCCAGAGAAAGGUUGAACCUCCCGAGGCUGAGGUAACCCAUAGCUAGUCUGUGCUGUCCAGAAGAUGGCAUGGGGUCCCACAAAAGAGGUACAAUCUCACGCAGCCAAAGGAGUCUUUACGGAUGAAACCUGAACGGGACAGAGAGAGCUUUGACCUUCUGCCUAACACGUUGAGUCAGCUGGUAGUUGAGUUCGGUUGGUUGGCUGUGUCUCAGAUGUCAGUAGGAGACGAAGCAAAGAUGUUCUGCUUGCUGAAGUUUUCCUUUCUCCAUGGACCAGAUGUUCUUUUGGAAAGAGCCUUGGAUUUGGAAUCGCAAAAACCUGGAUUUAAACCCUUUUGUGUCAUUUACCCUAGUGACCUCCCUAAGCCCAAUGCCCUCGCCUAACCAGUGAAAAUCUCACAGUCCCCAGCUGAUGAAGCAACCAUCUGACAAGUGUCUGGAUACGCCAGUAACUGCGACUUGAAACUACAUGUCACCCAGUGCUCUGGGGAAGGGUGGGAGACGUAGAGGUGGUGGUAACUCAGGCUGGCCUGGAGGUCCCUGCCCUGGGGGAGGCUCAAGUCCUCCGUGGUUUGUGACCCAGCCCGGGCGAGGCAGGAAGUAUGGGGCCUCCUCAGGCAGAGGGCCUGUCUCCCCAGCUCAAAUGUGAGCACCUCCAAACCGGGGCCCCGUCUGCCUGCUCCCUCUGGUAGGGGCGCAAUCUGUGUUUAAUGGAAGCAAGAAACACUACCGUUUUCCCCUUUUCCUUGUGGGGUCGCCCUGUGUGGAAUGACGUCUUUGACAACAUAGAGCUUGUCACGGUUGGCAAACCACUUUCCUAUCCGUUAUUCUGGAGACCACCUGCCACCCAGGAAGUCUCUCCUCCUCCCCACUGCUGACACCUAAGGGGUCACCAAGUCUGGCCAAUUCUUCCCUUUAUAGUCGAACUCGCCUGUCCUUCUGCACCUUCCCCACUGCCAUCACCUAGACGCAGGCCUCUGUCGCUUCCUCCCCCGAUGGCUCCGUACCUGCCCUCCUCACUUCCCGGCUUGCCCUGUGCUAAGCCCCCUUUCUAUCCAAGAGUCAGAGAGAUCUCUCUAUCUCUCUUUUUUUAAGUGCAUUCAUUUAUUUUGAGAGAGAGAGAGAGUGCACAAGCCAGGGAGGGGCAAAGAGAGAGGGAGAGAGAGAAUCCCAAGCAGGCUCUGCGCUUUCAGGGCAGAGCCUGAUGCAGAGCUUGAACUCAUGAACCGUGAGAUUAUGACCUGAGCCGAAACCAAGAGUCAGAUGCUUAACCGACUGCGCCCCCCAGGUGGCCCCAGAGAGAUGGCUCUUAAAUAAAACUGCUCGUUUCUCGCC